rnacentral:rRNA from 1 species
UACAGAGGUCUCAAGCGUUGUUCGGAUUCAUUGGGCGUAAAGGGUGCGUAGGCGGCGCGGUAAGUCGGUGUGAAAUCUUGGAGCUUAACUCCGAAACUGCAUUCGAUACUGCCGUGCUUGAGGACUGGAGAGGAGACUGGAAUUUACGGUGUAGCGGUGAAAUGCGUAGAUAUCGUAAGGAAGACCAGUGGCGAAGGCGGUCUCU